rnacentral:rRNA from 1 species
CCUACGGGAGGCAGCAGUGAGGAAUAUUGGUCAAUGGCCGGAAGGCUGAACCAGCCAUGCCGCGUGAAGGUCAGUGCCCUAUGGGCGUUAAACCUCUUUUGUUCGGGAGCUAUAAUGGUCACGUGUGGCCAGUCGAGAGUACCGUACGAAUAAGCAUCGGCUAACUACGUGCCAACAGCCGCGGUAAUACGGAGGAUGCGAGCGUUUUCCGGAUUUAUUGGGUUUAAAGGGUGCGUAGGCGGAUUUUUAAGUCAGCAGUAAAAUGUCCGGGCUAAAACCGGGCCGGCCGUUGAAACUGGGGAUCUUGAGUGGGCGAGAGGUAUGCGGAAUGCGUGGUGUAGCGGUGAAAUGCAUAGAUAUCACGAAGAACUCCGAUUGCGAAGGCAGCAUACCGGCGCCCGACUGACGCUGAGGCACGAAAGCGUGGGGAUCGAACAGGAUUAGAUACCCUUGUAGUC